GCCCUGCGCAAGCAGGGAGUGGCGGACGGGUGAGGAACACGUGGGUCAUCUACCCUUAGGUGAGGAAUACCGGCGAGAAAUCGCCGACAAUACCGCAUAGGCUCGGGAACGAGCAAAGCCCGCAAGGGCGCCUGAGGAUGAGCCUGCGCUCGAUUAGUUAGUUGGUGGGGUAAUGGCCUACCAAGACUGCGAUCGAUAGCUGGUCUGAGAGGACGAUCAGCCACACUGGGAUUGAGAACGGCCCAGACUCCUACGGGGGGCAGCAGUGAGGAAUUUUCGUCAAUGGGGGCAACCCUGAACGAGCAACGCCGCGUGCAGGAAGAAGGUUUUCGGAUCGUAAACUGCUUUUCUCUGGGACGAGAACGGACGGUACCAGAGGAAUCAGCCUCGGCUAACUACGUGCCAGCAGCCGCGGUAAUACGUAGGAGGCGAGCGUUGUCCGGAGUUACUGGGCGUAAAGCGCACGCAGGCGGUCAGGUAAGUCUGCGGUGACAGUCGUCGGCUCAACUGACGAAGUACUAUGGAAACUGUUUGACUUGAGGGCUUCAGAGGGACACGGAAUUCCGGGUGGAGUGGUGAAAUGCGUAGAUAUCCGGAGGAACACCAAUGGCGAAGGCAGUGUCCUGGGAAGUACCUGACGCUCAGGUGCGAAAGCUAGGGGAGCGAACAGGAUUAGAUACCCUGGUAGUCCUAGCCGUAAACGAUGACCACUAGACGUUGGGGGUAUCGACCCCUUCAGUGUCGUAGUUAACACAAUAAGUGGUCCGCCUGGGGAGUACGGUCGCAAGAUUAAAACUCAAA
rnacentral:rRNA from 1 species